UACAGGGGGUGCAAACGUUGCUCGGAAUUAUUGGGCGUAAAGCGCGCGUAGGCGGCUACUUAAGUCGGAUGUGAAAGCCCCUGGCUCAACUGGGGAAGUGCACCCGAAACUGAGUAGCUUGAGUGCAAAAGAGGGCCGCGGAAUUCCCGGUGUAGAGGUGAAAUUCGUAGAUAUUCGGAAGAACACCAGUGGCGAAGGCGACACACUGGCCCGUAACUGACGCUGAGGCGCGAAAGCGUGGGGAGCAAACAGG
rnacentral:rRNA from 1 species